UACGUAGGGUGCAAGCGUUGUCCGGAAUUAUUGGGCGUAAAGAGCUCGUAGGCGGUUUGUCGCGUCUGCUGUGAAAACUCGGGGCUUAACCCCGGGCCUGCAGUGGAUACUGGCGAGCUAGAGUGCGGUAGAGGAUGGUGGAAUUCCCGGUGUAGCGGUGAAAUGCGUAGAGAUCGGGAGGAACACCCGUGGCGAAGGCGGCCAUCUGGACCAGCACUGACGCUGAGGCACGAAAGCGUGGGGAGCAAACAGG
rnacentral:rRNA from 1 species